GCACCUGUAGUGUAAUGGAUAGCACACAAGAUCCCGGUUCUUGGGAUGAGGGUUCGAUUCCCUCCAGGUGCA
rnacentral:tRNA from 2 species